CACAGAGGGUGCGAGCGUUAAUCGGAAUUACUGGGCGUAAAGCGCACGUAGGUGGCGACGUAAGUCGGGUGUGAAAGCCCCGGGCUCAACCUGGGAAUUGCAUUCGAGACUGUGUCGCUGGAGUACGGAAGAGGAAGGCGGAAUUCCCGGUGUAGCGGUGAAAUGCGCAGAUAUCAGGAGGAACACCGAUUGCGAAGGCAGCUCGCUGGGACGUCACUGACGCUGAGACGCGAAAGCGUGGGGAGCAAACAGG
rnacentral:rRNA from 1 species